rnacentral:lncRNA from 13 species
UUGGGAUAUGUGCAAAAUUUAAAACAUCUCGCAUGUCAAAUGUAAGAAUACCAAAGGCUUAUUUUAAUAGAGAAGCAUAAUCCUACAUCUCAUUUGGAAUAUAUUCCUUGAAUCCUAUCAGAACCAACUAUUGUGAUGAAAAGAUAGACAGCACAUCACCUCACUACUGCCUCCAACGUGAUUUUGUCCCUGCCUUCCCACAGGUGGCUGGAAAGCUAGACAGGUAGACAGAGAUGAAAUGACUGCAGAAGAAAAAUUGGAAGCUAGCUGAAAGUUGGAAGAAGAAAACCUCACAAACAAAAGUUGGUUUGUGAGGUUUUAAGGAAAGAAGCCAUUUCUGCAACACGAAAGUGCAAGAUAAAGCUGCAAAUGCUGAUGGAGAAGUUAUAGUAAGUUAUCCAGAAGAUUUAGCUACCUAAGGUCAUUGAUGAAGAUGGCUACACUAAACAACAGAUUUUCAAUGUAGAUAAAAAAGCCUCGAGAGAUGAAAAAUUUUGAAAAAAGAUGCCAUCUAGAACUUUCAUAGAUCGAAGUAGAAGUUAAUGUUUGGCUUCUAAGUUUCAAAGGUUGACUCUCCUAUUAGGGGCUAAAGCAGCUGCUAACUUUAAAUUGAAGCUAAUGCUCAUUUAGGCCCUUAAGAAUCAAGCUAUAUUUACUCUGCCAGCGGUCUGUAAAUAAAACAACAAAGGUUGGAUGACA